rnacentral:lncRNA from 1 species
UCCCUCUAUUUUGACUCCAGCAUCUAUGGAUAUAAGAGCUAAUGUAAGUACCGAUGUUAGGACUCUUUCCAUCCCAUCUCGAUGUAUUGUGGGGUCCAUUGAAAAAUUCUAUUUAGAUGUGGUGGAAAAAAGUGGUGACAAACUAAAUGGUGAUAAUUGGUGCACCCAAGCAUGCCAUUAGCAUUGCAUCAAUUGGAAGGUGAUCGAAAGAGAAAGAGACUA